UCCGGUUGAUCCUGCCAGAGGUUACUGCUAUCGAGGUUCGACUAAGCCAUGCGAGUCGAAUGUAGCAAUACAUGGCGAACUGCUCAGUAACACGUGGACAACCUGCCCUUAGGUUGGGUAUAAACCCGGGAAACUGGGUAUAAUACCCGAUAGGUCUCGAUUGCUGGAAUGCAUCGAGAUUUAAAGCUCCGGCGCCUAAGGAUGGGUCUGCGGCCUAUCAGGUAGUAGUGGGUGUAGCGUACCUACUAGCCUACGACGGGUACGGGUUGUGAGAGCAAGAGCCCGGAGAUGGAUUCUGAGACACGAAUCCAGGCCCUACGGGGUGCAGCAGGCGCGAAAACUUUACAAUGCUGGCAACAGCGAUAAGGGAACCUCGAGUGCCAGGUUACAAAUCUGGCUGUCGAGAUGCCUAAAAAGCAUUUCAUAGCAAGGGCCGGGCAAGACCGGUGCCAGCCGCCGCGGUAACACCGGCGGCUCGAGUGGUAACCGUUAUUAUUGGGUCUAAAGGGUCUGUAGCCGGCCGGAUAAGUCUCUUGAGAAAUCUGGCAGCUUAACUGUCAGGCUUUCAGGAGAUACUGUCUGGCUCGAGGCCGGGAGAGGUGAGAGGUACUUCAGGGGUAGGGGUGAAAUCUUGUAAU
rnacentral:rRNA from 1 species